CACGUAGGGCGCGAGCGUUGUCCGGAAUUAUUGGGCGUAAAGAGCUCGUAGGCGGCCUGUUGCGUCCGCUGUGAAAGCCCGGGGCUUAACCCCCGGGUCGGCAGUGGAUACGGGCAGGCUAGAGGUAGGUAGGGGAGAAUGGAAUUCCCGGUGUAGCGGUGAAAUGCGCAGAUAUCGGGAGGAACACCGGUGGCGAAGGCGGUUCUCUGGGCCUUACCUGACGCUGAGGAGCGAAAGCGUGGGGAGCGAAACAGGAUUGAGAA
rnacentral:rRNA from 1 species